rnacentral:rRNA from 1 species
CUACGGGCGGCUGCAGUGGGGAAUAUUGCACAAUGGGCGAAAGCCUGAUGCAGCAACGCCGCGUGAGGGACGACGGCCUUCGGGUUGUAAACCUCUUUUAGCAGGGAAGAAGCGAAAGUGACGGUACCUGCAGAAAAAGCACCGGCUAACUACGUGCCAGCAGCCGCGGUAAUACGUAGGGUGCAAGCGUUGUCCGGAAUUAUUGGGCGUAAAGAGCUCGUAGGCGGUUUGUCGCGUCUGCUGUGAAAAUCCGAGGCUCAACCUCGGACCUGCAGUGGGUACGGGCAAACUAGAGUGCGGUAGGGGAGAUUGGAAUUCCUGGUGUAGCGGUGGAAUGCGCAGAUAUCAGGAGGAACACCAAUGGCGAAGGCAGAUCUCUGGGCCGUAACUGACGCUGAGGAGCGAAAGCGUGGGGAGCGAACAGGAUUAGAUACCCCCGUAGUC